GCCUUCGUGGUUUAAUGGUAGCGCACUCGCCGCGUAUUCGAGAGGCCCAAGUUCAAGUCCUGACGAGGGCA
rnacentral:tRNA from 1 species